AACGAACGCUGGCGGCGUGUUUAAGACAUGCAAGUCGCACGGGGCGACAUGAGUAGCAAUACGAUUGUCGUUCAGUGGCGCACGGGUGAGUAACACGUGAAUCACAUGCCCUGCAGAGGGGGAUAGCCCAGGGAAACUUGGAUUAAUACCCCAUGGUCUCGCAAGAGUAAACGGUGGCCGCAAGGCUGUCGCUGUAGGAUUGGUUCGCGCCCUAUCAGCUUGUUGGCGGGGUAACGGCCCACCAAGGCUACGACGGGGUACCUGGUCUGAGAGGACGAUCAGGCACACUGGAACUGAGACACGGUCCAGACACCUACGGGUGGCAGCAGUCGAGAAUAAUUCACAAUGGGGGCAACCCCUGAUGGUGCAACGCCGCGUGGAGGACGACGGUCUUCGGAUUGUAAACUCCUGUCGUCCGGGAGCAAGACCUGGUCGUUAAUAGCGACAGGGUUGAUAGUACCGGAAGAGGAAGGGACGGCUAACUUCGUGCCAGCCGCCGCGGUAAU
rnacentral:rRNA from 1 species